rnacentral:misc_RNA from 1 species
GAAAUGCGAUAAGUAAUGUGAAUUGCAGAAUUCAGUGAAUCAUCGAAUCUUUGAACGCACCUUGCGCUCCUUGGUAUUCCUUGGAGCAUGCCCGUUUGAGUAUCAUGAAAUCUUCAAGGUAAAUCUUUUGUUAACUCAAUUGGUUUCUACUUUGGUAUUGGAGGUCUUUGCAGCUUCACACCUGCUCCUCUUUGUUCAUUAGCUGGAUCUCAGUGUUAUGCUUGGUUCCACUCGGCGUGAUAAGUUAUCUAUCGCUGAGGACACUGUAAAAGGUGGCCAAGGUAAAUGCAGAUGAACCGCUUCUAAUAGUCCAUUGACUUGGACAAUACUUUUAUGAUCUGAUCUCAAAUCAGGUAGGACUACCCGCUGAACUUAAGC